rnacentral:snRNA from 1 species
GGAUGUGAGGGCUCUCUGGCUGUGAUCGCUGUCACCCCAUUGGUUGCCGGGUUUGAUUCAGCUGAUUUGCCCGGCUAGAGGGGGCUGUCCCCUUCCUCCCUCAGAGCUCCAUGUGCAUCCCUCCCGAAGCUCGGUCGAAGAGGACGACCACCCCCGAUAGAGGAGGACCUUUCCUUGGUCAAGGAUAUAUGAGUAGCUGAGCUACCCUGCUAGAACCUCCAAACAGGCUCUCCAGAGCGAUAAACGACUAUGAAGAGGGGCUGGGGAUUUAGCUCAGCGGCAAAAAGCACCUUCCUGGCAAGCGCAAGGUGAUGAGUUCGGU